GGGUGUGACUGCGUACCUUUUGUAUAAUGGGUCAGCGACUUAUAUUCUGUAGCAAGGUUAACCGUAUAGGGGAGCCGCAGGGAAACCGAGUCUUAACUGGGCGUUAAGUUGCAGGGUAUAGACCCGAAACCCGGUGAUCUAGCCAUGGGCAGGUUGAAGGUUGGGUAACACUAACUGGAGGACCGAACCGACUAAUGUUGAAAAAUUAGCGGAUGACUUGUGGCUGGGGGUGAAAGGCCAAUCAAACCGGGAGAUAGCUGGUUCUCCCCGAAAGCUAUUUAGGUAGCGCCUCGUGAACUCAUCUUCGGGGGUAGAGCACUGUUUCGGCUAGGGGGUCAUCCCGACUUACCAACCCGAUGCAAACUACGAAUACCGAAGAAUGUUAUCACGGGAGACACACGGCGGGUGCUAACGUCCGUCGUGAAGAGGGAAACAACCCAGACCG
rnacentral:rRNA from 1 species